UGGGGAAUAUUGGACAAUGGGCGGAAGCCUGAUCCAGCCAUGCCGCGUGUGUGAAGAAGGCCUUUUGGUUGUAAAGCACUUUAAGCGAGGAGGAGGCUACUUGGAUUAAUACUCUAGGAUAGUGGACGUUACUCGCAGAAUAAGCACCGGCUAACUCUGUGCCAGCAGCCGCGGUAAUACAGAGGGUGCGAGCGUUAAUCGGAUUUACUGGGCGUAAAGCGUGCGUAGGCGGCUUCUUAAGUCGGAUGUGAAAUCCCUGAGCUAAACUUAGGAAUUGCAUUCGAUACUGGGAAGCUAGAGUAUGGGAGAGGAUGGUAGAAUUCCAGGUGUAGCGGUGAAAUGCGUAGAGAUCUGGAGGAAUACCGAUGGCGAAGGCAGCCAUCUGGCCUAAUACUGACGCUGAGGUACGAAAGCAUGGGGAGCAAACAGG
rnacentral:rRNA from 1 species